CACUACAUUUCAUUGCAUAUAAGAAAGUAACCACCGCCGGAAGUAAACAACCCAAUUUUUACACUGUUAUUUACUGGUUACCUGCUUUGGUAACUAUGUAACCUUAACGUUCCAAAAUAUUUUAUAAGACCAUCAAAUAAAAAAAGAAUGAUGCUUUCAGACAUCCAACAUACAUAUUUACGACUCAGAAAAAUUUAAGUGCAUUGAAAUGCAGGGUUAAUUUUCUACAACUGUCAAAUUCAAGGGA
rnacentral:lncRNA from 1 species